UUCCCAGCCAACCCUUAAGCAGAACUUUUCCUCUGGUUUCUUAGCGACCAGCCCCGCCCAGCCGGCCCUCUCGCCCCGCUUCGCGCAUGCGCAAAACGCCGGCGGGGAAGGGGGCGUCUUCGUCCCGGCGCUCUGGCGUCCAAGGGCCGGUCAGGACCGCGUCUGGCGGUGGGAAGCUGGGAACUGGAGCCUCGGGUGAAGAUGGAGAAAAGAGCGAGCUGUACCAGGGUAAGCAUGGAGUAGACAAGAGAGUUGGAUUUCAUCAGGCUUUGUGACUUUGCAAGGGGGCAAACUUCUACUCUUAUCCUCUUUUGAAGUUUUGACCUACUGGUUUAAAGUCCUCAAAAGGGAAGGUGAGAUUAUUUUCGUGUGAAUUAGCAUAAAUAUAAAGGAUCAGUUUAUCCUGAAAUACGUUACAGAGGAGAAAUGGAAGGAUUUUUUGAAAAACACACUGAAGAUCUACCCUGGAACCAAUCAACUGAGGCCGGAGAAGGCAGAAUCCUGGAAGACCAUGGCCAUGUAGCUGGGAUGGGACAGCACUUGAGGAAGAAGGGGCAGCAGACAAAGUCUCUAGAAAGCCACUAAACAACAAAAAAAAGUCCAAUGUAUUGAGCCAGGGUGCUCAAAGGUAAAUCAUCAGAAGUAAUCAUUUGCAAGGGAACAUAGUGGGUUCGACUUGGACUAGUUUAGUUUGUGCUGGCCACUUAUGUAGGUGGACAUAUCCACCAGAGAAGUGGGGAUGAGAGGCCUAUGCACCCAGAUAGAGGCAAAGUUUGUAAAUCUAGGAGUCACAUCAGAGCAGUGGUAAUUGAAGCAAAGAGAGUGGAUGUUUGUUGAAGAAGAAAGUAUGGAAAGUGCUCUAAAAAAUGCAAGUAAGAAUGGGAAUGCUUAGUAGAGGAGCUGGGGAAAGGAACUGGGAAAUACUGCUGUAUUUGGAGAGCAGAAAAAGGAAUAGGUAGUAAUAACAGAAGCAGAGAAGCAGCCACCAGGAACUUUUCCUGGAAAAGGAGGAAAAAGGAGAUCUAAAGACAAGAACACUGCAAGAUGAAGUGAUGACAACAUCAUCCUAUACCAGAGGAGGGCCAAAAAAAUCUAACCACUGACAUCUACUGUUCAGCACAGUGUGGGAAGGAAUAUCCAGACUAAUAAUGGUGUAGGGAAUAGGGAGGGCGGUGGGUCUGAAUGUAGCUUGCAGGUGUAGAUGAGUCUUUGAAAAGGUUCAGUGGUGAAGGUAAGGAGUGAAAUGGGAUGGAAAAAAGCAUUUUAUAAUAAAGGUGCCUAAAGUCUGCUAUAGGCCCAGAGGAGAGAGCCUGGUAGCUCCUUACCUAUUUGGAACCUGGCUCUCCAGCAACCUCCACUAUCUGGAAUACAGUGAAGAACCAAGAAGCAAAAAUAGUUUGAACAACUUACAUCAGUGUCAUUAUACUUGUUCAAUUGAGUCUAUGGGUUGUACAUAAAAGAAAAUUGAUUCAUUUGCAAAAUUGAAUUAAUCUUACUCUUCUCUAGAUCAGAGAUGAAGAAAUGUUUCUCCCUAGCUCUGGUCUCACAACGGUAAACUAUACCCACAUUUACACAUAAUAAAAUGUUCAACUAACUUCCCAUUCAAUGAUCUAAGGAUAUAAAAUCUUAUAGGACAUUAGGAGGCUACAAAGUGGAAACAGAUGUAGCAUAUUUCAACAUGGCUCUCCUUGACCCAGAAUCCCUGGGAUAGAAGAGGUGGGAAAGGAACAAGAAGAAAAAACUGACACUGUCCAUACAAGGUAGGGUUUUUCCACCCAGAAACGUAAUUCUGACUACAAUCCUGUCCUUUUAUAAUAGGUGUUGAAUUACCAUUCUGGAACACACUAACCCCAUUUGUCAUUACAUUUAAUGAAAGGCUUAUAAAUAACCAGAAUUUCCUGGUUCCUGAACCAAAUGCAGCACCAGUAGGACACAUCAGUGUUCAGUCAUGCCCAGGUGACCCCAGAGGAUCACUCUGCUUCCAGUCCUCUAGUAUCCCAGAAAGUACAUUUCCCCUCUGUGCCAGAGGUUCUCAGAUGCCCCUGUGUCCUUCCUCCAUCCUGCUCUGUGCCCUGGGAGGCAGACCAGCAUGAACUGCAUCAAAGGGAUCUAUCUUGUCUUCUGGAUUCCAGUUGGGUUUGGCCAUUUGGAAGAACUGGAAAGACCCUGGAGUAUAUAAGGAAGAGGCAAAAUUGCAUGAGAACUUGGGGCUCAUUUGACAAGCUUCCAGUCUGGUGAAGAAGGCAAACAUGGGCACUACUAACUACAACUAAAGAAAAAACUUAGCCAAGGCUCCACCAUGCAAACCUGAACAUGCUAGAAAGCCCAAUGUACUCUGACCUGGACCUCUCUGAGAACUGCAAGAGCUGUAGGAGCUCUGAGAACUGGUGCUCCCUGCCAUGACAGGGCCAAUGUGAUAUCAGCUGGAAAGAAGAACUCACAAUCUACCUUGUGAGCCAACCAGAGUGUGAACUCAGGCUUCAUUGGUGAAUUUCCUCCUCUGUCUUAUGUCAAAAGGUAAAGACUAAGUUUAGUUAUAAGAAAUUUAAAAUGUUACUUUUCCUCCUCUGUGCCUCCUCCUACCUUUUGUCCUAAAUUCCUGUUCAAGUUACUUCUUGAGUGACAUGGCUCUUUCUCUCCUGGCAAAGGAAUGCACUCAGUUUUGUCUUGUAUUGUGUUUUGUCCACUUCUCCUGGUCUUUGUAUUUUGAUGUGACACUAGAAACAUGCCAAUAAAGAGAGUGGGUGCUGUAGAGAAGCAGCAGCUGAUCUGGACAGUGAAGGAUGAGAAGAGCUUCAACAGGGAAAGAAGAGAAGUAAGGGUCUUCUAGGUAUAACAGGGCCAAUGCUUCAUAGCAUAACCUCUGGUAUGAAGGAAAUGUAACAUUCUAAAUUUCUUAUAACUAAACUUAGUCUUUACCUUUUGACAUAUAAAUAACUUUGAGCUAGAGGCACCUGGAUGGCUCAGUCGUUAAGUGUCUGACUCUUGAUUUCAGCUCAGGUCAU